rnacentral:rRNA from 1 species
GAUGAACGCUGGCGGCGUGCCUAAUACAUGCAAGUCGAGCGAACAGACGAGGAGCUUGCUCCUCUGACGUUAGCGGCGGACGGGUGAGUAACACGUGGAUAACCUACCUAUAAGACUGGGAUAACUUCGGGAAACCGGAGCUAAUAGCGGAUAAGAUGCUGAACCGCAGGGGUCAACAGUGAAAGACGGUCUUGCUGUCACUUAUAGAGGGACACGGGCCGCAUUAGCUAGUUGGUAAGGUAACGGCUUACCAAGGCAACGAUGCGUAGCCGACCGCAGAGGGUGAUCGCCGACCCUGGAACGUAACCGCGCUCCAUACUCCUGCGGUACGCACCAGUCGGCUACCGGCCGCAGUGGUCGAGAGCCUUACGGAGUAACCGCACGUGAGUUGCAGCGGUGCUCGGAUCGUGAUGCCCUCCUAUUGGGGGAGAACAGCUUUGUACGUUGCUAUUCCCUUCGUGACGGUACCUAGUCAGAAAGCCCCGGCUAACUACGUG